rnacentral:ncRNA from 2 species
AUAAGUACCUGGGGGAGCCUAUAUGGCUGAGAUGUAUGCAGACGCAUACAGACCCUGAUAACUUGAUCCGGGUAAUGCCGGCGUAAGGAAAGGAGAAUUUCAUAAUG